rnacentral:lncRNA from 1 species
ACCAAAGGAGAAAUAAAUUCCAACACCAAAUUAGAGGUCAAAGAACAAAAGCAAGAAACAAUUUAAUUGAAUAAAACAGUACCACCAAAAGGAGUUAGAUUAUGACAACUAGAAAGAGGUCCAAGAAAUAUUAAGCAAGCAAAUAAAAGGUACCAAAAUAAAGGUAGGCACACAAAAGAAUCCUAAGAAUAGCACUAGAAUUAGAUGACCAAAUAAAAAAAACAGCACCACUGGAAAAUGUUGUGGGCCAGAAACGUGUUUUUUCCCCAAUUUAUGCUGAGCUGUUUUUUUAAGAUAUGAUUCU